rnacentral:rRNA from 1 species
AUUGAACGCUGGCGGCAGGCCUAACACAUGCAAGUCGAACGAGUGGCGGACGGGUGAGUAAUGUCUGGGAAUCUGCCUGAUGGAGGGUGAUAACUACUGGAAACGGUAGCUAAUACCGCAUACCAUCAGAUGUGCCCAGAUGGGAUUAGCUAGUUGGUGGGGUAACGGCGCACCAAGGCGACGAUCCCUAGCUGGUCUGAGAGGAUGACCAGCCACACUGGAACUGAGACACGGUCCAGACUCCGACGGGAGGCAGCAGUGGGGAAUAUUGCACAAUGGGCGCAAGCCUGAUGCAGCCAUGCCGCGUGUAUGAAGAAGGCCUUCGGGUUGUAAAGUACUUUCAGCGGGGAGGCGUUACCCGCAGAAGAAGCACCGGCUAACUCCGUGCCAGCAGCCGCGGUAAUUC